CAGCCGCCGCGGGAAUACGAAGGGGGCAAGCGUUGUUCGGAAUUAUUGGGCGUAAAGGGCGCGUAGGCGGUUUGACAAGUUUGGUGUGAAAUCUAUGGGCUCAACCCAUAGCCUGCAUCGAAAACUGUCGGGCUUGAGUAUGGGAGAGGUGAGUGGAAUUUCCGGUGUAGCGGUGAAAUGCGUAGAUAUCGGAAGGAACACCUGUGGCGAAAGCGGCUCACUGGACCAUUACUGACGCUGAGGCGCGAAAGCUAGGGGAGCAAACAGGAUUAGAUACCCCAGUAGUCCCUGUCUCUUAUCU
rnacentral:rRNA from 1 species